AACGCACAUUGCGCCCGCUAGCAUUCUGGCGGGCAUGCCUGUCCGAGCGUCAUUUCGACCAUCAAGCCCUCCGGGGCUUGCGUUGGGGUCCUGCGGCCGCCCGCAGCCUCCGAAAUGCAGUGGCGGGCUCGCUAACGCGUCGAGCGCAGUAGGCAACUUCUCGCUCGGGUCAGCGGUAGCGGGCGCCGGCCGUGAAACCCCUUCCACUCCCCAAGGUUGACCUCGGAUCAGGUAGGGAUACCCGCUGAACUUAA
rnacentral:misc_RNA from 1 species